AUAGAGACUCAGAGCUGCAUAUCAAUAAGCGGAGGAAAAGAAACUAACAAGGAUUCCCUUAGUAACGGCGAGUGAAGCGGGAAGAGCUCAAAUUUGAAAUCUUCAAGGUUUUACCUUGACGAAUUGUAGUUUAAAGAAGUGUUUUCUGUUAGAUGUUUGGUAGCAAAAGUUCCUUGGAAUAGGGACAUCAUAGAGGGUGAGAAUCCCGUAUUUGGACCAUUAUUUCCUAGCUUUGUGAUACACUUUCAAAGAGUCGGAUUGUUUGGGAAUGCAGUCCAAAAUGGGUGGUAAAUUUCAUCUAAAGCUAAAUAUUGGCGAGAGACCGAUAGCGAACAAGUACCGUGAGGGAAAGAUGAAAAGAACUUUGAAAAGAGAGUUAAACAGUACGUGAAAUUGUCAAAAGGGAAGCGUUUGACACCAGUGCUGUUUUUUCCGAAAAUCAAUUACGAAUGGCUUGAUUUUGUGUUGUAUUGACCUUAUCAGCUUUCUGCACUUUUUUCGAGUCUUUCUUAAUGCACUUUUCGGUUAACAAGUCAACAUCAAUUUCUUUUGUUGUAAAAGAGUAUUCGGAAGGUGGCUUUCUUUUCGGAGAAAGUGUUUAUAGCCCUAUACUUCUACAAUCGGAGAGAUUGAGGUCUGCAGCGUAGAUCCUUCGGGGUUAGAUACACUUUGUGCUAAGUUGUAGCUUUUCAUAGACAACUUGUUGACUAUGUUUAGUCAUGCGGCUUACUCGCUUUAUGCUAUUUUACCUACGCUUAGGAUGUUGACGAUCAGCUGAGCGCG
rnacentral:rRNA from 1 species